GGGGGCUCAGCUGUUGAUGUUCCUGAUGAAGCUCAGACACAACAUGGCCUUUCAAGACCUCGCUUACUGCUUUGAGGUCUCCCCUAGGGCGGCCUCUGAACUUGGAUACACAACAGGUUGUGUGGAGUAGCUACAAACAUAACUCUACUUUGAAGCAUCUAGUGGCAGUCAACCCCUAUGGAGCAGUCGUGUUUGUCUCGAGGGCAUGCGGAGGGAAGGUCUCCGACAAAGAGCUCACCAUUGCCAGCGAACUUUAGAGGCAUGUUCAGAUAUAACCCCGAAUCGCUGAAGACUGAAGCUGAGG